rnacentral:sRNA from 1 species
AAAAUUUUUAAAGCCAUAUUGCAUGGUGAUAACAGUCAUAUAUAAUACUUGCUCACCUACUUGGGGUGGGUGCGGGGAACCAAGACUGAUCUGAUAAGAAGUUACCUUCCUGAGAUUAUCAACACCAAGCUGCAAGAAUAACCUACUAAAGAAUUAGGCAGAAAAAUCUAUAUGUCUCCCUCAUCUCUACAGGUUUAACAACUCUGAUUCUUGGAAUUGUAAUGGCGAGGGCAAUUUCACUGGGUCCACACAUACCAAAAACAGAAGACGCUUGGGUAUUUGCAAAGCCCAAUGCCAUUCAAGCGGUCGGGGUUAUGUCUUUUGCAUUUAUUUGCCACCAUAACUCCUUCUUAGUUUACAGUUCUUUAGAAGAACCCACAGUAGCUAAGUGGUCCCGCCUUAUCCAUAUGUCCAUCGUGAUUUCUGUAUUUAUCUGUAUAUUCUUUGCUACAUGUGGAUACUUGACAUUUACUGGCUUCACCCAAGGGGACUUAUUUGAAAAUUACUGCAGAAAUGAUGACCUGGUAACAUUUGGAAGAUUUUGUUAUGGUGUCACUGUCAUUUUGACAUACCCUAU